GACAGAGGCCUCAAGCGUUAGGCGGAAUCACUGGGCUUAAAGCGUGUGUAGGCGGAUCGUUAAGUGUCUUGUGAAAUCCCACGGCUCACCCGUGGAACUGCUGGGCAUACUGGCGAUCUUGGGCCAACUAGGGGCAACUGGAACAAGCGGUGGAGCGGUGAAAUGCGUAGAUAUCGCUUGGAACGCCGAAGGUGAAAACAGGUUGCUGGGGUUGUGCCGACGCUGAGACACGAAAGCCAGGGGAGCGAAACGGG
rnacentral:rRNA from 1 species